CCUAGUGCAAAGGAGUACCGAGGUAACCAGAUGGCAAGUGGAGGCACAAGGCAAGUUCAUCAAUGCUUUGGUGAACCAGUGGUACAUUGGGGACAAUAAUGUCCGUGUGGCUGUGGUGCUUUAUGAUAGUGACGUCUAUGAGGAAAUCCAUCUGACAGAUUUCAGAAAUAACCGACACGGUCUGAAAAACAAAAUUUCUCACGUCACUAGAGAUGUGCACACAUCGGGUCACCAGAAUCUAGCUAAGGCCUUGGACUUCACCAGACAGCAUUCUUUCCGGUUUGCCCGGCCUGGGGUAGAGAAAGUGGUGUUUGCCAUUGCCCACGGCAUCUCUCACAGUCACGCCGAUGACAGAAAGAGAGCUGCCGACGCCCUCAAGGCCGACUGUGUCUCUGUCCUUGGUAAGAUAGAAUAUAUUCUGCUACAUGUAUACUCAUGGAUUUGUAUUAUAAUAAUUAUUAUACCGUUACACUGUACUAGACCUGUGCAUUCCUAACUACAGCAUACUAAUCAGGUAAUGUUGGAAGGCGGUGCCGGUCGGGAUCACCCUGGCUGUGACGUGUUAUUAAAAUGUGUUUGCCCCACUGGGAAAUACCUGUAGGUGGGUGGUACCAUAGCGUGGUUAAAAAUUCGUGAGGUAACCCAUUGUCAAAUAUCUCCUUAUAUAUUAACUAUUGAACAUAGA